rnacentral:rRNA from 1 species
UACGAAAGGGGCCAGCGGUGUUCGGAAUUACUGGGCGUAAAGCGCACGUAGGCGGCCUUGUAUGUUGGGGGUGAAAUCCCGGGGCUCAACUCCGGAACUGCCUUCAAGACUGCAAAGCUAGAGGACGCGAGAGGUUAGCGGAAUUCCGAGUGUAGAGGUGAAAUUCGUAGAUAGUCGGAAGAACACCAGUGGCGAAGGCGGCUAACUGGCGCGUUUCUGACGCUGAGGUGCGAAAGCGUGCGGAGCAAACAGG